rnacentral:rRNA from 1 species
UGGGGAAUUUUGGACAAUGGGGGCAACCCUGAUCCAGCAAUGCCGCGUGUGUGAAGAAGGCCUUCGGGUUGUAAAGCACUUUUGUCCGGAAAGAAAACUUCGGGGCUAAUACCCCUGGAGGAUGACGGUACCGGAAGGAUAAGCACCGGCUAACUACGUGCCAGCAGCCGCGGUAAUACGUAGGGUGCGAGCGUUAAUCGGAAUUACUGGGCGUAAAGCGUGCGCAGGCGGUGCUGUAAGACCGAUGUGAAAUCCCCGGGCUUAACCUGGGAACUGCAUUGGUGACUGCAGCGCUGGAGUAUGGCAGAGGGGGGUGGAAUUCCACGUGUAGCAGUGAAAUGCGUAGAGAUGUGGAGGAACACCGAUGGCGAAGGCAGCCCCCUGGGCCAAUACUGACGCUCAUGCACGAAAGCGUGGGGAGCAAACAGG